rnacentral:tRNA from 1 species
AUUUAUAUAGUUUAAAAAAAACAUUUCAUUUUCAAUGAAAAAAAAAGAGCUAAUCUUUAUAAAUA